rnacentral:rRNA from 1 species
AGCGAACGCUGGCGGCAGGCCUAACACAUGCAAGUCGAGCGCCGUAGCAAUACGGAGCGGCAGACGGGAGAGUAACACGUGGGAACGUACCCUUUGGUUCGGAACAACCCAGGGAAACUUGGGCUAAUACCGGAUAAGCCCUCACGGGGAAAGAUUCAUCGCCGAAGGAUCGGCCCGCGUCUGAUUAGCUAGUUGGUGGGGUAAUGGCCCACCAAGGCGACGAUCAGUAGCUGGUCUGAGAGGAUGAUCAGCCUCACUGGGACUGAGACACGGACAAGACUCCUACGGGAGGCAGCAGUGGGGAAUAUUGGACAAUGGGCGCAAGCCUGAUCCAGCCAUGCCGCGUGGGUGACGAAGGCCCUAGGGUUGUAAAGCCCUUUCGGCGGGGAAGAUAAUGACGGUACCCGCAGAAGAAGCCCCGGCUAACUUCGUGCCAGCCGCCGCAGUAAGAC